UACGGAGGGUGCAAACGUUGCUCGGAAUCAUUGGGCGUAAAGCGCACGUAGGCGGUCUGUUAAGUCGGAUGUGAAAGCCCUCGGCUCAACCGAGGAAGUGCAUACGAAACUGGCGGACUUGAAUAUGGAAGAGGGUCGCGGAAUUCCCGGUGUAGAGGUGAAAUUCGUAGAUAUGUGGAGGAAUACCGAUGGCGAAGGCAGCCCCCUGGGAUAACACUGACGCUCAUGCACGAAAGCGUGGGGAGCAAACAGG
rnacentral:rRNA from 1 species